UCCCCAACGGGAGCACGGGGGCGGGCCGCCACCCGCGGCGGGGCUCCGUUCGCGCUGGGCCGCCUCCCACGGCUCGCAGGCGUUCGCGGUGGCUACACCCGGUCUGCCCGGGCUUCCUAAAUACGAGAGGGAACCCGGCGAACGCCCUCCAGCCUGCCCUCCUCUGGGUCGCGCAGCCCAGCCGGGGCGAGACUCAGAUCUGAGAUGCCGUUCCAGAGAAGCUUUGGGAGUAGUGAACGACUGAGACCUGCCGCCCUGCUUUCCGAAACAUUACCGUUCCGGGAAGGUUACUGUGACCUAAGCUGUUGAAACCCACAGCAUGUUAUCAUUCUCCUUCAUGCAGAAGCCUGAAGAGGAAAUCAGGAAUUCCCAGAACUUUGAAACUCUGUUAAACUCUCUCUGAUUUCUCUGCUAUACAAUAAGCUUAUUAAGUCUUGUCAGUAAAAGCUUGCUGCUGUUCAAA